rnacentral:rRNA from 1 species
UACGAGGGGGGCAAGCGUUGUUCGGAAUUAUUGGGCGUAAAGGGUGCGUAGGCGGUUUGGUAAGUCUUAUGUGAAAUCUACAGGCUCAACUUGUAGUCUGCAUGAGAAACUGCCGGGCUUGAGUAUGGGAGAGGUGAGUGGAAUUCCUGGUGUAGCGGUGAAAUGCGUAGAUAUCAGGAGGAACACCGGUGGUGUAGACGGCUCUCUGGACCGUAACUGACGCUGAGGCACGAAAGCGUGGGGAGCAAACAGG